rnacentral:misc_RNA from 1 species
GGAAGAGGGGGGUUGUGUUUCUAUAAAUUUCCAAUCUUUGGAUUCAUUUUUUUUCGUCUUAGUUAUACAAUCGAGUCCUUUAGAAGUUGGUUUGGGAAAUGAGAGGGGGAAAAACUAUUGCCACAGUAACUAGUUAAACUUUUCAUACUAAAUAUGUACAUUUGUUGGUCCAUCUUCAAAAAGUGACAAUGAAUGCAACAUUUAUUUGCAUGCAAUAGCCAACAUUUCAUGGCAUAAUUAGCACAUGUAAAUAUUAGUUAUGGUCCUUCCCUACCUUUCUCUUGGAUCCAUUAUCAAUUUUAUUUUGCAUAAAUCUACUAAUCUCAAUUUUUUUUUACACUGUAUGUGUAUCUGAUAAUUUUCCUUGAUUAAAUCCCUGUCCAAAUCAUAUUACUUAUUGCUGGUUUUUUACUUUAUUAUUAUUAUUUUUUGUCUUUUCUUUUGGGAUUAG